UUUCCUCAUGAAGUGACUGUGAUAGACCUUCUGGGGUAGGCUGUUUGGAGGGCUAAAGCAGCCUAAUGUGUACUUGGCCCCUGGCAUGUGCCCCUUCCUAUGCAAAAGCACAAGCAGGAAGUUAAGCCUAUUUUACUGUAAGGAAUCUCAGAGCCACUCAGAAGUCUGUCAAGUGGCUUUGUGCUCUCUUUUCACAUUCUUCUGGGACUUGAGGCUCUACCGUUGCCUACAGCAGAUGCCAGCAGUAUUAUUCAGUCUCCAGGCUCUGAAUGGUGGACAGAGUGAAGAAGAUCCCUGUGGUAGGUUGUAUAUGCUUGACCCAAGGAAUGGCAUUAUUAGGAGGUGUGGUCUUGUUGGAGUAGGUGUGGCCUUGUUGAAGGAAAUGUGUCACUGUGGGGAUGGGCAAUGAGACCCUCAUUCUAACCACACAGUGGCCAGUUUUCUCCUAGGGGCCUUCAAAUGAAGAAGUAGAACUCUCAGCUCCUCCAGCACUAUGCCUGCUUGGAUGCCACCAUGCUCCCACCUUGAUGAUAAUGAACUGAACCUCUGAACCUGGUAUCAUCCUGAGGAUGUAUAUGGGAACCUCAUUUGGAGAGGAAGAAGAGUCAAGCUUUGCAACAGAUACUAUUCCAGGAAGAAGGGACUGACUACCCACGAUGCUUGGGUACUCUCGAAGGGCUCAAAGGGUCCUGUAACUUCUCAGAUGAAGAAGGUGACAGACAAGCAGUUAGAUGAAGCACAAGAGAUGAGAAAAUGCAAGAGGCAGUGAGCUCUCUAGGCUAAAGAUGUACUCAGGGGAACAUUGUUCUACACCACAGCCUAUCUCUGAGCCCUCAGCUAGGCGUUUAAUUAGAAGCAAGGAUGAAGCUCUUUACUCUACAAGUCUAGAAAUCUGGACUGGAAACCAUGAGGAGCAAGCAAGGGAAGUCACUCGACACUGGGUGUGCAGAGAAAGGGAGGUGGCACUGGGAGGGUAUCCAUUGCUGGGUGGAUAUCCAGAUAAAGGGAGAUGGCUAUGAGUGGGACACAUAGACUAAAGGCCUGGGUGGGACACAGUGAGUGUCUUGGGAGCCUGUGUGAUGCUUGAUCAUCUCUUGCUUUGCUCUUAAUUUUAUCGCUUUCAUGUAAAGCUUUUCACAUCUGUCCUUGCCCUUCCCUAAAUGCCACAUCUCCACUCUUUGCAUAAUCAUGGUCUGUGCCUUGGACCAGCUUUCUGAGAUUUCCUUCCUUGCUCAUUCUGUUUCCACCAUGUGCAGGGCCCCUUGGCAGGACACAUCAAGUGUAUAGCCACGACAGUGUCAUCUCACUUCUUACCUCUUACACCUGGAAUCUUUUCCCUGGGCUUCCAAAUGGGACUCAGCCUUUACAUCUCAGCCCAGAUGAGUUUCAAAUGCCUUGCCUGACCACCUAAUCGGGUGUUCUGGUUCUCCGUUAAAUUGCAGUUUUUCUUUCCGUUUCAGAUGCAGCACUGUGGAAUUCUCUCUGGAGCUCAUUUGUUUACUUCACAGUCUAUGCUGUGAGAGUCAGAACUGGGUCUGUGGCCCCGAAACCACAGCCCCAGAUCCUAGAAGAGUACGUGGUGUUGGAGGCAUUCAGCAAAUGCUUCAUGACUCGGUGGAUAACCAUGAGGCUGGAGCAAGAUCUCUGAGAGCCUUGCAGCUGCAGAGCUUGUAAACUUCCCAAUCUUUCAGAGACUCGCGAGAGACCCGGAAGCUGCAGAAGAGUCGGUCUGGCCUCUUUGUGGCUCUCCCUGCUUGCGCUCAGCAGAAACUCACAUUGGUCUUUCAGAAAGACUUGGCAGAUUGGAAUAAGUUCAGGCUCACAGUUCCCACGAUACUGGAGCCUCAGUGGACACACUGGGCACCUCCAGGGUUCACCUGCUUGAAGAUUGAUCUUCUCUCCUGAGCCUUGGCCACCUGAUCCAUGGCAACCUGCUUCACUGGUGUUUUAAUGAAACCAAAACUUUGCAAAGCCUGGAUCAAGGCUGAGAGGUAUGACUGGUGGGUUUUGAGCAAGGCUUCAGUGUUUGAGGAGUCCAGCAACUUGGUACUGUGACAGCAUUUUCCUGAGUUCCGAGUCUACCAUUCUGUGCUCCUCCCAUAGGGACACCUAGGAUGUGCCACAGAUGGUGAUGACAUAGCAGCUUCUAUCUCUGCUUUCCCAAAGGAAGUGGCCAUUCUCUCCCACCAGGUUUCCCCUCUCUCUUAUCUGACCUCUGGUCACUGUUUCUUCCAUGUCUGUGACUUGUACAUGCCACCUCCCUGCCCUGAGUGAACCAUCUUCCUCUGCUGGGACACCAAGAAACCUGAGCCAACACAGCUAGAAUACAGCAAAUACAGAGGCGAAUGCCAGCAGCAAACCACUGAACUGAGAAUAGGACCCCUGUUGAAGGAAUCAGAGAAAGAACUGGAAGAGCUUGAAGGGGCUCGAGACCCCUUAUGAACAACAAUGCCAAGCAACUAGAGCUUCCAGGGACUAAGCCACUACCUAAAGACUAUACAUGGACUGAAUCUGGGCUCCAACCUUAUAAGUAGCAGUGAACAGCCUAGUAAGAUCACCAGUGGAAGGGGAAGCCCUUGGUCCUGCCAAGACUGAACCCCCAGUGAACAUGAUUGUUGGGGGUAGGGCG